rnacentral:rRNA from 1 species
UCGGGAAUUUUGGGCAAUGGGCGAAAGCCUGACCCAGCAACGCCGCGUGAGGGAUGAAGUAUUUCGGUAUGUAAACCUCGAAAGAAUGGGAAGAAUAAAUGACGGUACCAUUUAUAAGCUCCGGCUAACUACGUGCCAGCAGCCGCGGUAAUACGUAGGGAGCAAGCGUUGUUCGGAUUUACUGGGCGUAAAGGGCGCGUAGGCGGCGCGGUAAGUCACUUGUGAAAUCUCUGAGCUUAACUCAGAACGGCCAAGUGAUACUGCUGUGCUAGAGUGCGGAAGAGGCAACCGGAAUUCUUGGUGUAGCGGUGAAAUGCGUAGUUAUCAAGAGGAACACCUGAGGCGAAGGCGGGUUGCUGGGCCGACACUGACGCUGAUGCGCGAAAGCCAGGGGAGCAAACG